AACGAACGCUGGCGGCAUGCCUAACACAUGCAAGUCGAACGAGACCUUCGGGUCUAGUGGCGCACGGGUGCGUAACGCGUGGGAACCUGCCCUUAGGUUCGGAAUAACUCCCCGAAAGGGGUGCUAAUACCGGAUAAUGUCUUCGGACCAAAGAUUUAUCGCCUUUGGAUGGGCCCGCGUUGGAUUAGCUAGUUGGUAGGGUAAAAGCCUACCAAGGCGACGAUCCAUAGCUGGUCUGAGAGGAUGAUCAGCCACACUGGGACUGAGACACGGCCCAGACUCCUACGGGAGGCAGCAAUGGGGAAUAUUGGACAAUGGGCGAAAGCCUGAUCCAGCAAUGCCGCGUGAGUGAUGAAGGCCUUAGGGUUGUAAAGCUCUUUUACCCGGGAUGAUAAUGACAGUACCGGGAGAAUAAGCCCCGGCUAACUCCGUG
rnacentral:rRNA from 1 species